AUUCUCUGAUGUUUUUGCUGAGUUUCGCGUUCCUUAGCCAACCUAUUUCACCAAAAGUAUGGAAACAUAAUUUUGAUGGAAUAAUGAAUUAUAUAUCUACCGUAUGUAUUAAUCCAAAAGUUCGUCUUGGUGGACAAAUUUUGGCAUUAGAUCUUGGGAUAACGGAGAUUCAGUGUUUACUGGGUUUUCUUAUCCUGGAUAUAGUUAUAACUGUGUUAGCUGUCCGUACACUAAAAAGAAAGUUUCAUGAUCUCAAGCCAAUAAGAUCUUUGAGCACUGUACAAAGUGAAAACUGGGAUGAAGAAUUAUUUGAGAACUGGGAUGAUGAUCUCAUGCAUAUUCCUGAAAACUGGGAUGAUGAUCUGGUUACAAUUCCUGAAAACUGGGAUGGAGAAUUAAUAAUGAUCUAAAUGGGGGGAUUUACUUUCAUUGAUAAAAAGGGUGUACGAUUUUAAAUCAGUUUGAUUUUGAUCUCCA